rnacentral:tRNA from 2 species
CGGAAGUAGCUCAGUGGUAGAGCAUCACCUUGCCAAGGUGGGGGUCGCGAGUUCGAGUCUCGUUUUCCG